rnacentral:lncRNA from 1 species
UUUUUCCCUUAUAAAAAUCUGUCACCUGAACAAACAAAACAUUUGUACUGAUGUCUUAAAAAAUACUACUGGCUUCUAGAAACAUCUUUGUAAAAAAAAAUCUCUCUUUUUUUCUCUUUCAGCUGUACUUUUUCCUCAGGGACUUUAACUUUCUGUUCUCUGUAUUUGUUUUCUGCAACCUUCAGUGAUGCCAAAUAGAUUAUCUUCUCUCCUUUGCUGCCACUACCCACAGAACUUUGUAAACGGUGUCUUGUUUUAUGAUAGCUUCCAGAAACCUUUGGCCAUGAUCAGCAAGAGAAGUAAAUGAAAAAUUCAAGAACUCAGAAGCCGAUGUCAAAUGCAGCUACUUCUACAGCAGAAAUAAAUAUUAGGAAACUCUCAACCUAUAUAAUAGCAAACUCUUACCAGCUAUUUCCAGAAGGAAGGAAGAUUACCCCAAAAGAUUGCAAAAAUGCUUUGGAGCAUGGAACAACAAAUGCAUGGCCAACAAGGUGGCCAAAGAAUAUUUUCUUCACCUAAAACAUAAUCUAAAACUAUUAAUGGAUUGUGCUAAGGACUGAGGAGCCAAAUGUUUCAGAACUAUUCACAAGCUCUUGAACUGGCUCAACAGACAACUAGAGAGAAGGAUCACAGACAAAUUUUCUGGAGACAAUGAGAUGUAAGUGGAAUUGAUUGGUGUACGCUUUUGUUUCUCUCACACAUGUUGUUGGCAGAAUAACAACAAAGGGC